CAGCCGCCACGGUAAUACGUAGGUGGCGAGCGUUGUCCGGAAUUAUUGGGCGUAAAGGGAGCGCAGGCGGGCGAGUAAGUCUUUCUUAAAAGUGCGGGGCUCAACCCCGUGAGGGGAGAGAAACUACUCAUCUUGAGUGCAGGAGAGGAAAGCGGAAUUCCUAGUGUAGCGGUGAAAUGCGUAGAUAUUAGGAAGAACACCAGUGGCGAAGGCGGCUUUCUGGACUGUAACUGACGCUGAGGCUCGAAAGCCAGGGGAGCGAACGGGAUUAGAUACCCCCGUAGUCCCUGUCUCUUAUACA
rnacentral:rRNA from 1 species